AACAUUUAGGGCAUGUUUGAUAACGUUUUUAGAAACACGUUUCUAGUGUUUUUAUUUUAAGAAACAAUAUAAACGAAAUAAAAACCGUUUGACAAACAUGUUCAUUUUCACUCAAUUUCAGAAACAUAAAUUGCUAUUUAUAACUAUUUCCUGUUCCAGAAACAGAUAUGAUGGAGCGAGUUUCACUUGUUUCAUCGUUUCUUGAAACAACUUUUAUGUUCAAAAGUGGAACCAAGCCCCGAUAAUUUCCCCUCCACAUUACAGACACCUCUCUUCUUCACUGUUCUGCGGAGAGGUUCUCCCAUCGUACUGCUCUGCAACCUUCCAAGACGAGGUCGUCUAACACCUCUCAAACGCUGGCUUGUGAAGCUCCCCUGGAGCAACUCGUGAAACUCGAUCAGACGAGGAAUCAGCUACAUAGAUUCCUCCCACAGUGCUGCAAAUCGUACCUAGGCGUGAGUUGUUAAGCAAGAUUGUGAGGUCUAUUAAAAGAGGAGAGGGCGAUCGAUCUUCGACAUCCGACCUCCAUUGCAAAGGCGUCGCAGAGACGUGAGUUAUUUCUUCUUCAACCUUCUCCUAAAUCGAUUGAACUUCGACGACGAGUGGAGGAGUUUUUUUAAAUCAGACAACAGCCGCGCCCUAACUAAUUUCCGCUUCAAAUAAACAGGUAUUGUUUCAUGUACUCUUCUACCUCUGUUCUCUUCUAUACAAAUUUAUGGUCGGUAGGAGACUGUUCGUCCCAUAUACACAGAAGCCCUAAAUAAAUUUCCCCUUCUUUGAUUUGGGUAUGUGAAGCUCCAGAUAAAUUCUUCUAACAUCAUAUUCUGUAGAAUAUUGUUGAUCAAGAUCUCCAGGGCUUCAAAGGCCUGGUCACUGGUUGCUUUCGGCUUGAACCACUCUGACAAUCGAAAGGUUUUCUUCCAGAAUAGUCGUCUUUUGAUUCCCUAUGAUGAGCUGCAAUUGCUCCAAUGUCUUCAGCUGUUGAGGUGAUGGUUCAAUCCUUGUUCAAACACCUUCUUAUAAUAUCUGAAUCACAGAAGCUUAUGAUUCAAAUUAAUUUUCUCAAUACCUGGGAGAGUGACUUUGCAGUUCCAAGUAUAAAGCCAAUGGAUCGACCUAUUAUGUAACACUGCUAGAAGUAAUGUGUUCCUUUCUCGUCUAAGAGGGUAUCCUGCGACCCAAAAAACUUUACACAACAUUGAUUUUUCUCCACUGAUUUUGAAUGCAACUGCUUGAAACCCAACCAUCCCAGGCUUUGCAACUAUUGUAUUCUGCAAACAUACAGAUUAUGAACUUGCAAAUAUGAACUACCUUUUGUCAUAGAAUGCACUAUGGUGUAAGUUUAAAUAAGGAAAUUGGUCGUUCGGUCGCU